GCCGCCCCCAACUCCGUACGCCCCCUGAGGGGAGCGGGCCGCCCAAUCGGAGGCGGAGCCGGCGGGUGAUGGAUGGCCGGCCGGCCAAUGGCGGCGGGCGCUGAGAGAAGCGGGGCGGGGCUACCUGCCCCAAGGGUUUUUCACUACCUACUUUGGUGCGAUCUCAGCCAGCCACUCGUGAUUGGCUGGCGCCGGCCGUUGCCGCGGCGAGCCGAGGAAACCCUGUGCAUCGCGCCGGCCUCCAGACAAAGCACCCGCCGCCGCCCGGCCUCCGCUUCUGGGGCGCUCGCCCCGAAAUUAUUAAAAAAAAAAAAAAAAAAAAACACAAUAAAAAUAAUAAAAA